rnacentral:misc_RNA from 1 species
AAGGAGUCUAACAUCUAUGCGAGUGUUCGGGUGUCAAACCCUUGCGCGUAAUGAAAGUGAACGGAGGUAGGAAGGCGUAUGCCUGCACUAUCGACCGAUCCUGAUGUCUUCGGAUGGAUUUGAGUAAGAGCAUAGCUGUUGGGACCCGAAAGAUGGUGAACUAUGCGUGAAUAGGGUGAAGCCAGAGGAAACUCUGGUGGAGGCUCGCAGCGGUUCUGACGUGCAAAUCGAUCGUCAAAUUUGCGUAUAGGGGCGAAAGACUAAUCGAACCAUCUGGUAGCUGGUUCCUGC